UACAGAGGGGGCAAGCGUUGUUCGGAACUUACUGGGCGUAAAGGCGCGUAGGCGGCCUGCUAAGUCGAACGUGAAAUCCCUGGGCUCAACCCAGGAACUGCGUCCGAUACUGGUUGGCUUGAAUCCGGGAGAGGGACGUGGAAUUCCAGGUGUAGCGGUGAAAUGCGUAGGAUACUCUGGGAGGAACACCGGUGGCGAAGGCGACGUCCUGGACCGGCAUUGACGCUGAGGCGCGAAAGCCCAGGGGAGCAAACGGGAU
rnacentral:rRNA from 1 species